GAGCUCCUCACGGCCCGGCGAGCCGGGCUCCGCCAUCGCUUCCCGCGGCGGCGGCGCCUCCUGAUGACGUCAGCGCUACGGCUGCCGCGAAGGGCCGCGCCUUGCGGGCGGCGGGGCGGGGCCUGUCGCCACGGCAACGAGGCCUGCGCGGGGCGAUAACAUCGACCCGCUUCCCAGGGCUACAGGAUUAAUUCCAGCUUGCGAAAUACUCUGAGCGCCUUCGGUGGAAGGUGCUAAACACGUGAAAUUCCCAGCGGCCCCUUGGCGCACCGGCUUCCUCUGCAGGCUCCGGCGAGGCUGCACCGGCGCGGAGUCACGCAGCCCGGGCGAGCGCUCGGCACCCCAAGGCGGGGGGUUUGAUGGGCUCCGAGGCAGAGCAGCGGCACCGUUCCUCCCAGCAGACCUCGCUAUGGGAAACAGCCGCGAAAUGGCCUGUGAAUAUUCCGUUUUCAGGUCUCUUUCUCCAAUAAACGCGCAGAAUGAAAGUC